rnacentral:tRNA from 1 species
CAGAAAAUAGUUUAUUAAAAAUGCUAGUUUUGGGAACUGGUGAAGAGAUAUAUUUCUCUUUUCUGA